rnacentral:rRNA from 1 species
UACGGGGGGAGCAAGCGUUGUUCGGAUUUACUGGGCGUAAAGGGCGCGUAGGCGGUCAGCACAAGUCAGUUGUGAAAUCUCCGGGCUUAACUCGGAAAGGUCAACUGAUACUGUGCGACUAGAGUGCAGAAGGGGCAACUGGAAUUCUUGGUGUAGCGGUGAAAUGCGUAGAUAUCUGGAGGAACACCGGUGGCGAAGGCGGCAUCCUGGACCGACACUGACGCUGAGGAGCGAAAGCCAGGGGAGCAAACGGG